UACGGGGGGAGCAAGCGUUGUUCGGAUUUACUGGGCGUAAAGGGCGCGUAGGCGGUCAGCACAAGUCAGUUGUGAAAUCUCCGGGCUUAACUCGGAAAGGUCAACUGAUACUGUGCGACUAGAGUGCAGAAGGGGCAACUGGAAUUCUCGGUGUAGCGGUGAAAUGCGUAGAUAUCGAGAGGAACACCGGUGGCGAAGGCGGUCUGCUGGGCAGUAGCUGACACUGAGGCGCGACAGCGUGGGGAGCAAACAGG
rnacentral:rRNA from 1 species